rnacentral:snRNA from 1 species
AGAUGUAAGAGCAAUCUGGCUGUCGAAGCUAUCAUCCCGUUGAUCACUGAGCUGAGUGAUCUGAGUCCCCUGUGGCUCAUGUGGCUCAGAUUGACUGAGCUGAGUGGCUAGGGGGGUGUCCCAUUCCUCCCUUAGCACUCUAUGUGAGUCUUUCCCAAGUCUAUGUGCUUUUGUGAAAAGAGCAGCCUUUCUCAAAACAGGACUUCCGUCGAGAGUUUGUGAGUAGCUGGACUCCCUUGCUAGAAUCUCCAAACAGGCUCUCAAGUCACCAUAGUCUCCUCUUACAGAAAUGUACAGUUACAACAUCUUUAACACCAAUAAGCGUGACAGCAU